AUUGAACGCUGGCGGCAUGCUUUACACAUGCAAGUCGAACGGCAGCACGGACUUCGGUCUGGUGGCGAGUGGCGAACGGGUGAGUAAUACAUCGGAACGUGCCCAGUUGUGGGGGAUAACUACUCGAAAGAGUAGCUAAUACCGCAUGAGAACUGAGGUUGAAAGCGGGGGAUCGUAAGACCUUGCGCAACUGGAGCGGCCGAUGGCAGAUUAGGUAGUUGGUGGGAGAAAAGCUUACCAAGCCGACGAUCUGUAGCUGGUCUGAGAGGACGACCAGCCACACUGGGACUGAGACACGGCCCAGACUCCUACGGGAGGCAGCAGUGGGGAAUUUUGGACAAUGGGCGAAAGCCUGAUCCAGCAAUGCCGCGUGCAGGAUGAAGGCCUUCGGGUUGUAAACUGCUUUUGUACGGAACGAAAAGCUUCGGGCUAGUACCCUGGAGUCAUGACGGUACCGUAAGAAUAAGCACCGGCUAACUACGUGCCAGCCGCCGCGGUAAAAC
rnacentral:rRNA from 1 species